CAGGGAGGUAGUGACAAGAAAUACCAAUACAGGGCAUUAGUCUUGUAAUUGGAAUGAUGCCGAUUUAAACUCCCGGCAGAGUACCAAUUGGAGGGCAAGUCUGGUGCCAGCAGCCGCGGUAAUUCCAGCUCCAAUAGCGUAUAUUAAACUUGUUGCAGUUAAAAAGCUCGUAGUCGAAUUUCAGCGUUUCGAUGUGGUCGCUUUUUGCUUCCUGUUCGUUUCGCCUUUUGUAUUACUUUGAGAAAAUUAGAGUGUUUCAAGCAGACUUUUGUCUUGAAUAGUGUAGCAUGGAAUAAUAUAGUAGGACGGCUUCCCUAUUUUGUUGGUUUGCGAUUGCCGUAAUGGUUAAUAGGAACGGUUGGG
rnacentral:rRNA from 1 species